GCCUAACACAUGCAAGUCGAACGGAGUGCUUCGGCACUUAGUGGCGGACGGGUGAGUAACGCGUGAGAAUUUGGCUUCAGGUCGGGGACAACAGUUGGAAACGACUGCUAAUACCGGAUGUGCCGGAAGGUGAAAGAUUUAUCGCCUGAAGAUAAGCUCGCGUCUGAUUAGCUAGUUGGUAGUGUAAGGGACUACCAAGGCGACGAUCAGUAGCUGGUCUGAGAGGAUGAUCAGCCACACUGGGACUGAGACACGGCCCAGACUCCUACGGGAGGCAGCAGUGGGGAAUUUUCCGCAAUGGGCGAAAGCCUGACGGAGCAAUACCGCGUGAGGGAGGAAGGCUCUUGGGUCGUAAACCUCUUUUCUCAAGGAAGAAAAAAAUGACGGUACUUGAGGAAUAAGCAUCGGCUAACUCCGUGCCAGCAGCCGCGGUAAUACGGAGGAUGCAAGCGUUAUCCGGAAUGAUUGGGCGUAAAGGGUCCGCAGGUGGUACUGUAAGUCUGCUGUUAAAGAGUCACGCUCAACGUGAUAAGAGCAGUGGAAACUACAGAACUAGAGUGCGUUCGGGGCAGAAGGAAUUCCUGGUGUAGCGGUGAAGUGCGUAGAUAUCAGGAAGAACACCGGUGGCGAAAGCGUUCUGCUAGGCCGCAACUGACACUGAGGGACGAAAGCUAGGGGAGCGAAUGGGAUUAGAUACCCCAGUAGUCCUAGCCGUAAACGAUGGAUACUAGGUGUGGCUUGUAUCGACCCGAGCCGUACCGUAGCUAACGCGUUAAGUAUCCCGCCUGGGGAGUACGCACGCAAGUGUGAAACUCAAAGGAAUUGACGGGGGCCCGCACAAGCGGUGGAGUAUGUGGUUUAAUUCGAUGCAACGCGAAGAACCUUACCAGGGCUU
rnacentral:rRNA from 1 species